rnacentral:rRNA from 1 species
GACGAACGCUGGCGGCGUGCUUAACACAUGCAAGUCGAACGGUAAGGCCCUUCGGGGUACACGAGUGGCGAACGGGUGAGUAACACGUGGGUGAUCUGCCCUGCACUUCGGGAUAAGCCUGGGAAACUGGGUCUAAUACCGGAUAGGACCACUGCCUGCAUGGGUGGUGGUGGAAAGCUUUUGCGGUGUGGGAUGGGCCCGCGGCCUAUCAGCUUGUUGGUGGGGUGAUGGCCUACCAAGGCGACGACGGGUAGCCGGCCUGAGAGGGUGACCGGCCACGCUGGGACGGGGAUACGGCCCAGAGUCCUACGGGGGGCAGCAGUGGGGAAUAUUGCACAAUGGGCGCAAGCCUGAUGCAGCGACGCCGCGUGAGGGAUGACGGCCUUCGGGUUGUAAACCUCCUUCAGCACCGACGAAGCGCAAGUGACGGUAGGUGCAGAAGAAGGACCGGCCAACUACGUGCCAGCAGCCGCCGUAA